rnacentral:ncRNA from 1 species
UAAUUUCAAUGUAAGGGUAUAUGGUGGAUGCCUUGGGAGAAGUAGCCGAAGAAGGACGUAGUAGGUUGCGAUAAGCCUCGGGGAGCUGCCAAACAAGCUUUGAUCCGGGGGUGUCCGAAUUGAGAAAUCUUGCCGAUUUAAAGAUCGGUAAUCCCCCGCCGUGAGGCGGGGUUGAAGGGUACCUGCUGAACUGAAACAUCUUAGUAAGCAGAGGAAAAUAAAUCGUAAGAGAUUCCCUUAGUAGUGGCGAGCGAACAGGGAAAAGCCUAAACCGCCGUGCAAAGCACGGAAAUCCG